GUGGGGAAUAUUGGACAAUGGGGGCAACCCUGAUCCAGCCAUGCCGCGUGAAUGAUGAAGGCCUUCGGGUUGUAAAGUUCUUUUGGAGGGGACGAUGAUGACGGUACCCUCAGAAUAAGCUCCGGCUAACUUCGUGCCAGCAGCCGCGGUAAUACGAAGGGAGCUAGCGUUGUUCGGAAUUACUGGGCGUAAAGGGCGCGUAGGCGGUUUGGUUAGUCAGAUGUGAAAGCCCAGGGCUUAACCCUGGAAAUGCGUUUGAUACUGCCAAGCUUGGAUUCGGGAGAGGUGAGUGGAAUUCCCAGUGUAGAGGUGAAAUUCGUAGAUAUUGGGAAGAACACCGGUGGCGAAGGCGGCUCACUGGACCGACAUUGACGCUGAGGCGCGAAAGCGUGGGGAGCAAACAGGAUUAGAUACCCCGGUAGUCC
rnacentral:rRNA from 1 species